rfam:Pan troglodytes isolate Yerkes chimp pedigree #C0471 (Clint) chromosome 17, whole genome shotgun sequence.
GCCAGGCAUGGUGGCGCAUGCCUGUAAUCCCAGCUACUCGGGAGGCUGAGGCAGGAGACUCGCUUGAACCCGGGAGGCAGAAGUUGCAGUGAGCCUAGUUUGCACCACUGCACUGCAGCCUGGGCAACAGAGCAAGACUCUGUCUCGA